UGGGGAAUAUUGGGCAAUGGGCGCAAGCCUGACCCAGCAACGCCGCGUGAAGGAAGAAGGCUUUCGGUUGUAAACUUCUUUUGUCAGGGACGAGUAGAAGACGGUACCUGACGAAUAAGCCACGGCUAACUACGUGCCAGCAGCCGCGGUAAUACGUAGGGGCAAGCGUUAUCCGGAUUUACUGGGUGUAAAGGGAGUGUAGGUGGCUGCGCAAGUCAGGAGUGAAAGCCCGGGGCUCAACCCCGGGACUGCUCUUGAAACUGCGCGGCUUGAGUGCAGGAGGGGCAGGCGGAAUUCCUAGUGUAGCGGUGAAAUGCGUAGAUAUUAGGAGGAACACCGGUGGCGAAGGCGGCCUGCUGGACUGUAACUGACACUGAGGCUCGAAAGCGUGGGGAGCAAACAGGAUUAGAUACCCUGGUAGU
rnacentral:rRNA from 1 species